rnacentral:tRNA from 1 species
GCGGGAGUGGCGGAAUGGCAGACGCAGCAGCCUUAGGAGCUGCCGCCUUAGGGCGUGGGGGUUCAAGUCCCCCCUCCCGCACCA